GAUGAACGCUGGCGGCGUGCCUAAUACAUGCAAGUCGAGCGAACAGAUGAGGAGCUUGCUCCUCUGACGUUAGCGGCGGACGGGUGAGUAACACGUGGAUAACCUACCUAUAAGACUGGGAUAACUUCGGGAAACCGGAGCUAAUACCGGAUAAUAUAUUGAACCGCAUGGUUCAAUAGUGAAAGACGGUUUUGCUGUCACUUAUAGAUGGAUCCGCGCCGCAUUAGCUAGUUGGUAAGGUAACGGCUUACCAAGGCAACGAUGCGUAGCCGACCUGAGAGGGGGAUCGGCGACAGUGGAACUGAGACACGGUCCAGACACCUACGGGAGGCAGAAGUAGGGAAUCUUCGGCAAUGGGCGAAAGCCUGACGGAGCAACGCCGCGUGAGUGAUGAAGGUCCUCGGAUCGUAAAACGCUGUUAUUAGGGAAGAACAAAUGUGUAAGUAACUAUGCACGUCUUGACGGUACCUAAACAGAAAGCCACGGCUAACUACGU
rnacentral:rRNA from 1 species